CUGACAUGUGUUUUUCAAAUUUGACAUAUCUUCUUUGCCUACCUUCUUUUUGGGGGCCUUUUUAGAUAUCCCAAUUUAUAUUCUUGCCAUGAGUGUGCAUAUAUUUGGAAAGUUGACACCCCACAGUAUUGUAUAUGGAGUGUUUUAAUGCCUUUGAUGCAAUCCUUUUAGUCAAAUAACUGGAGAAAAUGUGUGGUUAAUUUUUAAAUUUUCAUUUUUACACACACAUUUGUGUGUCAUUUAGGGGAG